rnacentral:rRNA from 1 species
CCAAUAGCGUAUAUUAAAGUUGUUGCAGUUAAAAAGCUCGUAGUUGAAUUUCGGGAUCAGUACGCUGGUCGUGCCUUGGUAUGUACUGGUGUUACUGGUUCCUACCUUCUGACGAACCGUCAUGUCAUUAAUUUGGUGUGGCGGGGAAUCAGGACUGUUACUUUGAAAAAAUUAGAGUGUUUAAAGCAGGCUCGCGCUUGAAUACAUUAGCAUGGAAUAAUGAAAUAGGACGUUCGAUCCUAUUUUGUUGGUUUCUAGGAUUGACGUAAUGAUUAAUAGGGAUAGUUGGGGGCAUUAGUAUUCAAUUGUCAGAGGUGGAAUUCUUGGAUUUAUUGAAGACUAACUACUGCGAAAGCAUUUGCCAAGGAUGUUUUCAUUAAUCAAGAACGAAAGUUAGGGGAUCGAAGACGAUCAGAUACCGUCGUAGUCUUAACCAUAAACUAUGCCGACUAGGGAUCGGAUGAUGUUAAUUUUUUAAUGACUCAUUCGGCGCCUUACG